GAUGAACGCUGGCGGCGUGCUUAACACAUGCAAGUCGAACGGAAAGGCCGAAGCUUGCUUCGGUACUCGAGUGGCGAACGGGUGAGUAACACGUGGGUGAUCUGCCCUGUACUUCGGGAUAAGCUUGGGAAACUGGGUCUAAUACCGGAUAUGACGAUCUCUUGGAUGGGGUUGUGGAGAGCUUUUGCGGUAUGGGAUGAGCUCGCGGCCUAUCAGCUUGUUGGUGGGGUAAUGGCCUACCAAGGCGUCGACGGGUAGCCGGCCUGAGAGGGUGUACGGCCACAUUGGGACUGAGAUACGGCCCAGACUCCUACGGGAGGCAGCAGUGGGGAAUAUUGCACAAUGGGCGCAAGCCUGAUGCAGCGACGCCGCGUGGGGGAUGACGGCCUUCGGGUUGUAAACUCCUUUCGCAAUCGACGAAGCCUUUUGGUGACGGUAGGUUGAGAAGAAGCACCGGCUAACUACGUG
rnacentral:rRNA from 1 species